rnacentral:rRNA from 1 species
UGCAAGUCGAACGAUGAAGCCCUUCGGGGUGGAUUAGUGGCGAACGGGUGAGUAACACGUGGGCAAUCUGCCCUUCACUCUGGGACAAGCCCUGGAAACGGGGUCUAAUACCGGAUAACACUCCUGCCUGCAUGGGUGGGGGUUAAAAGCUCCGGCGGUGAAGGAUGAGCCCGCGGCCUAUCAGCUUGUUGGUGGGGUAAUGGCCCACCAAGGCGACGACGGGUAGCCGGCCUGAGAGGGCGACCGGCCACACUGGGACUGAGACACGGCCCAGACUCCUACGGGAGGCAGCAGUGGGGAAUAUUGCACAAUGGGCGAAAGCCUGAUGCAGCGACGCCGCGUGAGGGAUGACGGCCUUCGGGUUGUAAACCUCUUUCAGCAGGGAAGAAGCGAAAGUGACGGUACCUGCAGAAGAAGCGCCGGCUAACUACGUGCCAGCAGCCGCGGUAAUACGUAGGGCGCAAGCGUUGUCCGGAAUUAUUGGGCGUAAAGAGCUCGUAGGCGGCUUGUCACGUCGGAUGUGAAAGCCCGAGGCUUAACCUCGGGUCUGCAUUCGAUACGGGCUAGCUAGAGUGUGGUAGGGGAGAUCGGAAUUCCUGGUGUAGCGGUGAAAUGCGCAGAUAUCAGGAGGAACACCGGUGGCGAAGGCGGAUCUCUGGGCCAUUACUGACGCUGAGGAGCGAAAGCGUGGGGAGCGAACAGGAUU